rnacentral:rRNA from 1 species
UAGGGCUAGCCUCAAGUGAUGAUUAUUGGAGGUAGAGCACUGUUUGGACGAGGGGCCCCUCUCGGGUUACCGAAUUCAGACAAACUCCGAAUGCCAAUUAAUUUAACUUGGGAGUCAGAACAUGGGUGAUAAGGUCCGUGUUCGAAAGGGAAACAGCCCAGACCACCAGCUAAGGUCCCAAAAUAUAUGUUAAGUGGAAAAGGAUGUGGCGUUGCCCAGACAACUAGGAUGUUGGCUUAGAAGCAGCCAUCAUUUAAAGAGUGCGUAAUAGCUCACUAGUCGAGUGACACUGCGCCGAAAAUGUACCGGGGCUAAACAUAUUACCGAAGCUGUGGAUUGUCCUUUGGACAAUGGUAGGAGAGCGUUCUAAGGGCGUCGAAGCAUGAUCGCAAGGACAUGUGGAGCGCUUAGAAGUGAGAAUGCCGGUGUGAGUAGCGAAAGACGGGUGAGAAUCCCGUCCACCGAUUGACUAAGGUUUCCAGAGGAAGGCUCGUCCGCUCUGGGUUAGUCGGGUCCUAAGCUGAGGCCGACAGGCGUAGGCGA